rnacentral:rRNA from 1 species
GACGAACGCUGGCGGCGUGCUUAACACAUGCAAGUCGAACGCUGAAGCUUGGUGCUUGCACUGGGUGGAUGAGUGGCGAACGGGUGAGUAAUACGUGAGUAACCUGCCCUUGACUCUGGGAUAAGCCUGGGAAACUGGGUCUAUACUGGAUACGACAUGUCACCGCAUGGUGGUGUGUGGAAAGGGUUUUACUGGUUUUGGAUGGGCUCACGGCCUAUCAGCUUGUUGGUGGGGUAAUGGCUCACCAAGGCGACGACGGGUAGCCGGCCUGAGAGGGUGACCGGCCACACUGGGACUGAGACACGGCCCAGACUCCUACGGGAGGCAGCAGUGGGGAAUAUUGCACAAUGGGCGGAAGCCUGAUGCAGCGACGCCGCGUGAGGGAUGACGGCCUUCGGGUUGUAAACCUCUUUCAGCACGGAAGAAGCGAAAGUGACGGUACGUGCAGAAGAAGCGCCGGCUAACUACGUG